CAUAUUUAGGUCUUUCCACUUUUCCGUGGAAAGACCUAUUGGAUUUCUUCUGAUUAUUAUUUUUUUUUUUUUCUUCCGCCUAAUUUUUUUCCUUCGCUGUUUUUUUGUUUCGCAAGAUGUCGCUUAGAUUUUUGGAAUAUGAUAUCGAACAGUUUAUACGCUUUUGAAACCAACUCGUUUUAACCGAAUACUUUCCCAAAUAAGAGUUAUCUCCCUGAACACUGUUUUUCUUGUUAUCUCUAAGGCUUCGCAACCGUAUAAGAAACCGACAAAUUUAUUUUUCCAAAUUGCUCGUUAUAUCCUCAGGAUGUUCUGUUUUAUUUUGACCAAAGCCGUAUAUAGAUUCCAUAUGACAGUUAUCCCCCCUUUUAUGUUUGAUAUAAGAAUUUGCAUUUCUAACUGGUAAACCAUAAGUGAUAGAGACCUAGGGUCUUUUGAUUUGAGGUCCUUGGUCCAAAAAAAUGAAAAUUAGGUCAAGGUCAAAGGUCAAGGUCAUAUUCUAAAUUUUGAUUUUUGCUUAUUUCACUCAUUUUCAUCAACCUUAUAAGAUAUCGACAAAUUAUUUUUACUAAAUUGUUAGUUGCGACAUGUCGUAACAUAAUAAUUUUGGUUGAAAGGGUACGUAGACAAUAAAUGGGAGUUU
rnacentral:lncRNA from 1 species